rnacentral:rRNA from 1 species
UACGUAGGGGGCAAGCGUUGUCCGGAAUCAUUGGGCGUAAGCGCGUGUAGGCGGCUGAGUAAGUCUGCUCUGAAAGCCCGGGGCUCAACCCCGGGAGGCGGGUGGAUACUGCUCAGCUCGAGUCCGGAAGAGGAGUGUGGAAUUCCUGGUGUAGCGGUGAAAUGCGCAGAUAUCAGGAGGAACACCAAUGGCGAAGGCAGCACUCUGGGGACGGUACUGACGCUGAGACGCGAAAGCGUGGGGGAGCAAACAGG